rnacentral:rRNA from 1 species
UACGAAGGGUGCAAGCGUUACUCGGAAUUACUGGGCGUAAAGCGUGCGCAGGCGGUUUUGUAAGCCAGAUGUGAAAUCCCCGGGCUUAACCUGGGAAUGGCAUUUGGGACUGCAAGGCUGGAGUUUGGCAGAGGAGACUGGAAUUCCUGGUGUAGCAGUGAAAUGCGUAGAUAUCAGGAGGAAUACCGAUGGCGAAGGCAGGUCUCUGGGCUAUAACUGGCGCUCAUGCACGAAAGCGUGGGGAGCAAACAGG